GAGUUUGAUCGUGGCUCAGAGUGAACGCUGGCGGUAGGCCUAACACAUGCAAGUCGAACGGCAGCACAGUAAGAGCUUGCUCUUAUGGGUGGCGAGUGGCGGACGGGUGAGGAAUACAUCGGAAUCUACUUUUUCGUGGGGAUAACGUAGGGAAACUUACGCUAAUACCGCAUACGACCUACGGGUGAAAGCAGGGGAUCUUCGGACCUUGCGCGAUUGAAUGAGCCGAUGUCGGAUUAGCUAGUUGGCGGGGUAAAGGCCCACCAAGGCGACGAUCCGUAGCUGGUCUGAGAGGAUGAUCAGCCACACUGGAACUGAGACACGGUCCAGACUCCUACGGGAGGCAGCAGUGGGGAAUAUUGGACAAUGGGCGCAAGCCUGAUCCAGCCAUACCGCGUGGGUGAAGAAGGCC
rnacentral:rRNA from 1 species